GGGCCCGCACAAGCGGUGGAGCAUGUGGUUUAAUUCGAUGAUACGCGAGGAACCUUACCAGGGCUUAAAUGUAGGUUGCAUGAUCUAGAGAUAGAUCUUUCUUCGGACUACCUACAAGGUGCUGCAUGGUUGUCGUCAGCUCGUGCCGUGAGGUGUCAGGUUAAGUCCUAUAACGAGCGCAACCCCUGUCGUUAGUUACCAGCAAUUAAAGUUGGGUACUCUAGCGAGACUGCCGGUGCAAACCGUGAGGAAGGUGGGGAUGACGUCAAAUCAUCACGGCCCUUACGAGUAGGGCUACACACGUGCUACAAUGGGGAAUACAGACGGACGCUAAGCCGCGAGGUGGUGCU
rnacentral:rRNA from 1 species